rnacentral:rRNA from 1 species
CCUACGGGAGGCUGCAGUCGAGAAUCAUUCACAAUGGGGGCAACCCUGAUGCAGCGACGCCGCGUGGGUGAAGAAGCGCCUCGGCGCGGAAAGCCCUGUCAGCAAGGAAGAAAAUGACGGUACCUGAAGAAGAAGCCCCGGCUAACUACGUUCCAGAAGCCGCGGUAAUACGUAGGUGGCAAGCGUUGUCCGGAUUUACUGGGUGUAAAGGGCGUGCAGACGGAGAGACAAGUCAGAUGUGAAAUCCACGGGCUCAACCCGUGAACUGCAUUUGAAACUGUUUCCCUUGAGUUUCGGAGAGGUAAUCGGAAUUCCUGGUGUAGCGGUGAAAUGCGUAGAUAUAAGGAAGAACACCAGUGGCGAAGGCGGAUUACUAGACGAUAACUGACGGUGAGGCGCGAAAGCGUGGGGAGCAAACAGGAUUAGAUACCCGUGUAGUC